rnacentral:rRNA from 1 species
AGUUGGUGGAGUGAUUUGUCUGGUUAAUUCCGUUAACGAACGAGACCCCUGCCUGCUAAAUAGCUUGCCGAGUAAAUUUUUACUGGGUCAUGCUUCUUAGAGGGACGUGCAUUCUAUUAGAUGCAGGAAGAUAGGGGCAAUAACAGGU